AACGCGAAGAACCUUACCUGGGUUUGACAUGCACAGGACGACCGCAGAGAUGCGGUUUCCCUUGUGGCCUGUGUGCAGGUGGUGCAUGGCAGUCGUCAGCUCGUGUCGUGAGAUGUUGGGUUAAGUCCCGCAACGAGCGCAACCCUUGUCUCAUGUUGCCAGCGCGUAAUGGCGGGGACUCGUGAGAGACUGCCGGGGUCAACUCGGAGGAAGGUGGGGAUGACGUCAAGUCAUCAUGCCCCUUAUGUCCAGGGCUUCACACAUGCUACAAUGGCCGGUACAGAGGGCUGCGAUGCCGUGAGGUGGAGCGAAUCCUUGUUAAAGCCGGUCUCAGUUCGGAUCGGGGUCUGCAACUCGACCCCGUGAAGUCGGAGUCGCUAGUAAUCGCAGAUCAGCAACGCUGCGGUGAAUACGUUCCCGGGUCUUGUACACACCG
rnacentral:rRNA from 1 species